rnacentral:lncRNA from 1 species
CCUGAAUCCAGCAAAGGACAAAGUUGCGCACAUUGCGUCAGAUACAAUUUCUGCCAUUUACCAGGAAGAACUAGGGGAACCAGGAGAAGGGCCACCUGCUUGGGGCGGGCCGCCCAUCGUCUGAGAUGUGGGGAGCUCCUCUGCCCCGCCGCCCUGUCUGGGAUGUGAGAAGCGCCUCUGCCCGGCCGCGACCCCGUCUGGGAUCUGAGGAGUGUCUCUGCCCGACCGCCACCCCAUCUGGGAGCCAUGUAAGAUGUGCCUGCUUCUCCUUCACCUUCUGCCAUGAUUGGAAGUUUCCUGAGGCCUCCCCAGAAGCAGAAGCUGUUAAGCUUCCUGUACAGCCUGCAGAAGCAGAAGCAGAAGCAGAAGCAGAAGCAGAAGCAGAACUAUGAGCCAAUUAAAUCUCUUUUUCUUAAAAAU